UACGUAGGGGGCUAGCGUUGUCCGGAAUCAUUGGGCGUAAAGAGCGUGUAGGCGGUCCGGUAAGUCCGCUGUGAAAGUCGGGGGCUCAACCCUCGAAUGCCGGUGGAUACUGUCGGGCUUGAGUACGGAAGAGGCGAGUGGAAUUCCUGGUGUAGCGGUGAAAUGCGCAGAUAUCAGGAAGAACACCCGUGGCUAAGGCGGCUCUCUAGUACGGUACUGACGCUGAGACGCGAAAGCGUGGGGAGCGAACAGG
rnacentral:rRNA from 1 species